rnacentral:rRNA from 1 species
CACGUAGGGACCAAGCGUUGUCCGGAUUCAUUGGGCGUAAAGAGCUCGUAGGCGGUUCGAUAAGUCGGGUGUGAAACCUCCAGGCUCAACCUGGAGACGCCACCCGAUACUGUCGUGACUAGAGUCCAGUAGGGGAGCGUGGAAUUCCUGGUGUAGCGGUGAAAUGCGCAGAUAUCAGGAGGAACACCAGCGGCGAAGGCGGCGCUCUGGGCUGGAACUGACGCUGAGGAGCGAAAGCGUGGGGAGCAAACGGG